UAACAAGGAUUCCCCUAGUAACUGCGAGUGAAGCGGGAAAAGCUCAAAUUUAAAAUCUGGCGGGUUCCCCGUCCGAGUUGUAAUCUGGAGAAGCGUUUUCCGUAUCGGACCGUGUACAAGUCCUUUGGAAUGGGGCGUCAUAGAGGGUGAGAAUCCCGUCCAUGACAUGGACUACCGAUGCUCUGUGAUACGCUCUCGAAGAGUCGAGUUGUUUGGGAAUGCAGCUCAAAAUGGGUGGUAAAUUCCAUCUAAAGCUAAAUAUUGGCGAGAGACCGAUAGCGAACAAGUACCGUGAGGGAAAGAUGAAAAGCACUUUGGAAAGAGAGUUAAACAGUACGUGAAAUUGUUGAAAGGGAAACGCUUGAAGUCAGUCGCGUCCGUCGAGACUCAGCCUUGCCUUUGGCCUGGUGUACUUCUCGGUGGACGGGUCAACAUCGAUUUUGAAUGGCGGACAAAGGUCUGGGGAAUGUGGCACCUCCGGGUGUGUUAUAGCCUCUCUCCGUAUACGCUGUUUGGGAUCGAGGACCGCAGCACGCCCUUGUGGCCGGGGUUUUACCCACGUACCGUGCUUAGGAUGUUGGCAUAAUGGCUUUAAGCGACCCGUCUUGAAACACGGACCAAGGAGUCUAACAUGCCUGCGAGUGUUAGGGUGCAAAACCCUUGCGCGUAAUGAAAGUGAAAGUUGGGACCUCUGUCGAGGAGGGCACCGACGCCCGGCCCUGAACUCUUGUGACGGUGCUGCGGUAGAGCAUGUAUGUUGGGACCCGAAAGAUGGUGAACUAUGCCUGAAUAGGGCGAAGCCAGAGGAAACUCUGGUGGAGGCUCGUAGCGAUUCUGACGUGCAAAUCGAUCGUCAAAUUUGGG
rnacentral:rRNA from 1 species